GUUGUUUUCUCAUUUGAAUGAGUUGGAGUCUGGAGAUAGGCCCAUUUCAAAGAUGGCUGGCCGCAUCCUCAGGCCUGCAUUCUAGCCUUUUCCAUUUUCAAGAGCGCCUCAUGAGAUCUGCUCCUCCAGGAGGCUGAAGGACGGGGAUCUGCUGAAGAAACUGCACCAGAAAAGGAGUCUUCAGUCCCAGUAGAGUGAAUUUGGCCAGACGCUGUUCGAAGAGGGUCCCCUUGAGACAGCUGCACAUCUGACUAUUUCCCAUGGAAAGGGUCCAUGGACCAUCACUUCGGAAUCACCAGGGAGCUUGUGAAGAUGCAGAUUGCGAGGUCCCUGGCCCUGGAGGACAAUUUCUAUGAUCAAGGCCUAGGGAGUGGUGUUUCUAACACCACAAAUUUUCUAAGGGAUCCUCUUUUGCCCUAGUUAUGUUCAGCAUUCAUUGCCCAAAGUAAGACUGGUGUUUAUCUUUCAACAAAGGAACAAAUCUGACGAAUGUAUCGGUGGUGUGGGCAGUAGCUGGGGAGCCCGCAACUUAAUAUCCAGGGUUGUAUCAGCCCUCUGUGUGUGCUUUGGUUGAUUUUGUGGUUAUUUUAACUUUAAUGUGAUGCUGGGAAGGAUUGAAGGCUAAAGGAGAAGAGGGAGACAGAGGAUGAGAUGGCUAGAUUGCAUCACUGACUCAAUGGACAUAAAUUUGAGCAAAUUUUGGGAGAUGGUGAAGGACGGGGAGCCUGGCGUGCUGCAGUCCAAGGGGUCACAAACAGCGGGACAUGACUUAGAGACUGAACUUAACUUUAAUGUAAGUAUAAUUGAUUUUCAGGAACACUGAUAAGAAUGAAGCCAUUUGCAGAAGAAAAAAACUGAACCAGGAAGAGAAGGCAGCCGAGAGUAAGAGGGAAGGGAUGGCUAGGGGAAAAUGCAGCCCAGUGGGCCAGACUGGAGAAGGGGAGGGACAGAAACACACGAGAGAUGGGCAAGAAAGGUCACUCCUGAGCAGCUGUCAACAGGACAUCAGAGAGACGGGUCUUUAAGAUGUUUUGCUGUGGGUCCGUCGCAAGAGAGUUGAAAUGUUUACAUUCAUUAUGAAGUUUUCUUUGGAUAUUGGCGUCAUCCCUGAAUGUGAAAUUACCCUGAAGUGGCUGCCAGGUACCCUCGUUGUACUGGGGCUACAGGCAAUUGUGAAAAACACAGAAUUCAGAAUAUUGACGGGUCUGGGAUAGAGAUGCUUCGCUGUAGUGUCUACACAGGGAAGCAAGAAGAAAAGACAGGAAGGGCCCAGAGAUGCUGAAAACACCCGCCGUCUAGGGACCAGGUGAGGAGCGGAGACAGGAGAUGAGGGAGAGGGCUGGGGUUGCCCCUGGUAUGACCACCUCUUAGUGCUGCACAGAAUCAAGUUCCCACUGGUUGGGCUUUUUCGGGGGAUGAAGUGGGGUUGGGGAGAAGGAACAUUGUUCCAGGAAAGGUUACGGGGAGAUGACGUACUAGGGGGAUGGGUCUACCGUAGGUUUCCUUUUCUAUCGUAAAACACCUGCACCUAUAAUCAAGGCACACCUUUUACCCAGAAGAGUUCAUUUCUUUUUGACCCCCAUUCUUGAUCCCCAGGUAAGAUUCCUAGUUCUAUCAGCUGGCAGAGUACGUCUACUCAACUUUCUUCUCUGCAUGUAUGCACGUUAAGUCGCUCAGCUGUGUCUGACCGCAAUCCCAUGGACUGUAGCCCACCCGACUCUUCUGUGCAUGAGAUUUGCCAGGCAAGAAUACUGGAGUAAGUUGCCAUUUCCUCCUCCGGGGGAUCGUUUCUUAAGAACUGCUAAGCCUGGCUUAAGCUUUAUUCUGCUGAAAGAACACAGCCUUCAGCAUGGGGAGAGGAUGUUUUUCUCAGAGGCAUUCACGGCCUGGCGUCAUCCCUGCCUCCUUCCGACCCUAUUCCUCCCCCAAGUCUCCAGGGUGGAAAUUCCUGAUCUGUUCGAGGUCCAGCUCCAUGGACGUUCCAGACUAGCAUCCGGAAGACAGCCGACAGCCGCAGCCCCAAAGAGCUGGCCCCUCAUCUGCUGGCUUUGCCGCUAAGUGAGAGCUGCCCACAGUUGCCACCCCUCCGGACCCCACCUCUGCCUGGGUCCGCAGCGGCCUCCCUAGUCUCCCCACUUCUACCCUGCCCAACCCCACCCCAAAGCCUACUCUCAG
ensembl:lncRNA